AGUGAACGCUGGCGGUAGGCCUAACACAUGCAAGUCGAGCGGCAGCACAGUAAGAGCUUGCUCUUACGGGUGGCGAGUGGCGGACGGGUGAGGAAUACAUCGGAAUCUACUUUUUCGUGGGGGAUAACGUAGGGAAACUUACGCUAAUACCGCAUACGACCUACGGGUGAAAGCAGGGGAUCUUCGGACCUUGCGCGAUUGAAUGAGCCGAUGUCGGAUUAGCUAGUUGUCGGGGUAAAGGCCCACCAAGGCGACGAUCCGUAGCUGGUCUGAGAGGAUGAUCAGCCACACUGGAACUGAGACACGGUCCAGACUCCUACGGGAGGCAGCAGUGGGGAAUAUUGGACAAUGGGCGCAAGCCUGAUCCAGCCAUACCGCGUGGGUGAAGAAGGCCUUCGGGUUGUAAAGCCCUUUUGUUGGGAAAGAAAAGCGGCAGGUUAAUACCCCGCUGUUCUGACGGUACCCAAAGAAUAAGCACCGGCUAACUUCGUG
rnacentral:rRNA from 1 species